CAGUCGCCGCGGGAAUACGAAGGGGGCUAGCGUUGUUCAGAUUUACUGGGCGUAAAGGGCGCGUAGGCGGACUGAUAAGUCAGGGGUGAAAUCCCAAGGCUCAACCUUGGAACUGCCUUUGAUACUGUUUGUCUUGAGUUCGAGAGAGGUAAGUGGAACUGCGAGUGUAGAGGUGAAAUUCGUAGAUAUUCGCAAGAACACCAGUGGCGAAGGCGGCUUACUGGCUCGAAACUGACGCUGAGGCGCGAAAGCGUGGGGAGCAAACAGGAUUAGAUACCCCUGUAGUCCCUGUCUCUUAUAA
rnacentral:rRNA from 1 species